GAGGGUACAGCUCAAGUGGUAGAGUGCAUGCUUAGCAUGCACGAGGUCCUGGGUUCAAUCCCCACUACCUCCA
rnacentral:tRNA from 1 species